rnacentral:rRNA from 1 species
GACGGGUGAGUAACACGUAGGAAUCUACCUUAAAGUUGGGGAAUAACUCGAGGAAACUCGAGCUAAUGCCGCAUAUCUUCCAAGGAAGAAAGCUGGGGAUCUUCGGACCUGGCGCUUUAAGAUGAGCCUGCGGCGGAUUAGCUAGUUGGAGUGGUAAAGGCACACCAAGGCAACGAUCCGUAGCUGGUCUGAGAGGACGAACAGCCACACUGGGACUGAGACACGGCCCAGACUCC